rnacentral:misc_RNA from 1 species
UCUCCCGUGAGGGAGCAGUCUCGCCUGACAUAUAAAACAGACAACGGGGGUUGCGUUCGUUUCCCCACUUAAGGGAACAGCUCAAGCCACGAACUGACGACGACCAUGCAUCACCUGCCUAGCACCCUCGAAGGCUCCUCUGGUUUCCCAAAGGAUGCAGCUAGGUUUCAAGCCCUGGUAAGGUUCUUCGCUUACCGACGAAUUAAGCCACAUGAUCCACCGCUUGUGCGAGUUCCCGUCUAUUCCUUUGAGUUUUAGCCUUGCGGCCGUACUACCCAGGCGGUUCCCUUAACGCGUUAGCUUCGCCACAAAGAGGGUCGAUACUCCUUAUAGCCAGGGAACAUAGUUUAGGGCGUGGACUAC